rnacentral:rRNA from 1 species
UGUCCUACGGGGGGCAGCAGUGGGGGAUAUUGCACAAUGGAGGAAACUCUGAUGCAGCGACGCCGCGUGAGGGAAGACGGUCUUCGGAUUGUAAACCUCUGUCUUUGGGGAAGAAAAUGACGGUACCCAAAGAGGAAGCUCCGGCUAACUACGUGCCAGCAGCCGCGGUAAUACGUAGGGGGCGAGCGUUGUCCGGAAUCACUGGGCGUAAAGGGCGCGUAGGCGGUUUAAUAAGUCAGUGGUGAAAACUGAGGGCUCAACCCUCAGCCUGCCACUGAUACUGUUAGACUUGAGUAUGGAAGAGG